GGCUAAUGUGUUUACUUGGCACCUUGGCUAUACUUUAAUGGGAUUUUGUGAAAUACUUUUAAUUUACUAUGAUAAGGAAUAUUGGUGGGCGAAUGAAUGGAAACGUGAAUUUAUCACAUGAACCACUUUCUAGCUCUUUUAAAAGAAAAUCACUAUUUUUUGUUGUUUUAGGUAAGCUUUGGUCUCAUCUUGUGUAAUAUUUCUCAUUUCAUGGAUUGAAAUGUUGUAUUAAAGCGUAAAUGGGUUAUAAUGUGUUGUGUUAUCCACUGAAGGAGGUGCAGGCUUAAGGAAUGCUGCAGUCAGGGUGUGUCUGUAUGCACAACAACAAAUAAAUAUUGCAGUGACCUUGCACAAAUUCUUGCAUGGAGUCUCUUCGCCUUUUCCCCUCAGACCCUAGUCUAGGAAUGGAAGCCAAAGGGAGGGAAAAAAUGAACCUGUGCUUUGGGACACUGAAAACCACCCACUAGGUCUGAAAAUCCACACACUUCUAAGUUAACAAUAUUUAAUAACAAAAGUUCCUAACUGAGGCUGAAAUGCUGCUGCAAUGACCGUUUCUCCUCUGCACCAGCCCGGGCUGCUGAGCUCCGUGCCUGCUGAAGACGCCACGAGAGGGCAGCAGAGACUGUGAUAAAGCCACCGCCGCUCCUCCCCUGCCUUAAAUGACUUUGAAACUAGGACAGCAUCUGACAGUUGAAGAAAUGUCUUGUGUGGUGGCUAGUGUAUUCUCACAGUGAGUCAGCCUGCAGUGACACCUCAGGGAUUUUUAUCCCUUCUGUUGAGUGUUCUCAGCAAAAAGACAAUGAAAGAGCCUGAAAGGAGCAAGAGUGUCCGUACUUCUAAAACACCAUUGCUGCAAUUGCAGGGGCUGUCAGUGUCUUUGGCAGCAACCAAAGAGACAGCAGGCCCAGUCAUCUCCCUCAGAAAGUCAUUCCCUGUGCAUGGCUGGCCUGAGCCAACAUACUGCGUGGCAACGUGCCCAUUGUUUGCUGUGAAUUUAGAACCUGAAGCUAAGGAUGAAAGCCCUUGUCAGCUGUGCAGAGGCUUUUGCAGUAGUUUUCCACACACCCCUUUCCUGAAGCCACAGGAAGAACCACUGGUGUAAACACAGGGCUCUGCUCUGUGUAGCAGAGCUAUUGCAGUUUUGCUGUGCAUCUAGAGCUCUUGGCCUGCUGGGGGCAGGGUUUUUCAGCUACAAAGGUCCUCAAGAUAGAAAUGUAGGAGAGUGUUAUGCGUUGGUAACUGUCUCUAGUUCCUGUUGAUCUCCAGCUGCUUUUGGUGAGCUUGGUUCUCUCCCUGAUGACAGAGAAGUUUUAUUUUAUUACUGUAAAGCAAUCAGAGGGAAGGAGUAUGUCAGGUGAAGGGGCAACUGUAGCUAGUCUGGACAUAUCUUCUAGUCUUUUUUCAUUGUGUACAGCAUUGCCUUAACAUUUAAAAUACAGACAAAAAAAAAAGUUGGUAGGUUGUGAUGGUGGAUAACGUACCAUUUACAACCCCCCCCCCUCAAUCCUAAUCCCCAUCAGCCAGUUCUUAAGCCACUGAGCUGCUGGCAGCUGUGGUGUGAGAAAAUGAUACUGUUCAGGGUAGCUCUCUGGCACAGGCUGGGAUGAUAUUGGGGAAGACAUGAAAUUAAAAAGAGCUUGUUUAAAAUUGACUGCUGAUUACUCACUUCCAUAAAUACAUUGGAGCACAAGAAAUUUAUUGCACUUGGACAUAUUUGCAAGCUGCUUUUUGGAAAUGGACACAAAUACACUCUGAAUAAUACAGUUUUGCUGCUUGAUUGGCAGGCAAUCUCUCCAUGGUUCUACUGAAAAGCAACUUAGGCUAGUUUUUUCAGUAGGAUGGAUGUCAGAGCCUCAUUUUCAUUCUUCCUGUGAUGCUUAAGAAAUUUUGGAAAGUAGAAGAGAACAAAAGAGAGUGAUUCUACUGUAAAAUGCAAAGUCCUGGUAUUUUUCAUCAAAUUAGGAGUAUAGAAGGUGUUGGUCUGGAUGUUAAAUCACAGAGCAGACUGAAUUUCCAUAUGCAGUAGGAUGAGUGAAAAGGGUAUAGUAAUAUAGAUUAAAAUGUUCUACAUAAAAACUCCUUCUUGACCGUAGAACUAUUAAAUCAAAGAAGUAGAUAUCUAUAAAAAAAAAAAAAAAGGGCAUAACAUUUCAAAUCCCAUUGUAGAAAACUGUGAGUGGGAGAGUCCAGAGUUCUGAACACAGAUACCAAGAUCUUGGUAACCACAGGGUAAGAAGUCUGUGGUUUUAUUUCCCUCCCCCAAAAAAGUGAUACUGUUCAUGAACAUUCCAACUGAAGUUUGACAACAAGCAGGAAAUUAAACAAGUUAUCUCUGAAUUGUGUGCAAAAUACUCUAAAAUAAAGGAAGAAAACAGAAACCUAAUUACA
rnacentral:lncRNA from 1 species